rnacentral:rRNA from 1 species
AGCUCCAAUAGCGUAUAUUAAAGUUGCUGCAGUUAAAAAGCUCGUAGUUGCAUUUCCGAGGCAAGGGAUUAGUCCGACCUUUGGUGGGUAUUUAAUCCUCUUGCCUCGUCCUUGAGUGGUGCUUCUUGGGAUUAAGUUAUCGAGGAGAUAGCCGCUCAUCGUUUACUGUGAGAAAAUUAGAGUGUUCAAAGCAGGCUUAUGCCGUUGAAUAUAUUAGCAUGGAAUAAUAAGAUAGGCCCUCGGUACUAUUUUGUUGGUUUGAGAACCAAGGUAAUGAUGAAUAGGGACAGUUGGGGGUAUUCGUAUUCAGUUGUCAGAGGUGAAAUUCUUAGAUUUACGGAAGACGAACUACUGCGAAAGCAUUUACCAAGGAUGUUUUCA